GAUGAACGCUGACAGAAUGCUUAACACAUGCAAGUCAACUUGAAUUUGGGUUUUUAACUUAGGUUUGGGUGGCGGACGGGUGAGUAACGCGUAAAGAACUUGCCUCACAGCUAGGGACAACAUUUUGGAAACGAAUGCUAAUACCUAAUAUUAUGAUAAUAGGGCAUCCUAUAAUUAUGAAAGCUAUAAGCGCUGUGAGAGAGCUUUGCGUCCCAUUAGCUAGUUGGAGAGGUAACGGCUCACCAAGGCGAUGAUGGGUAGCCGGCCUGAGAGGGUGAUCGGCCACAAGGGGACUGAGACACGGCCCUUACUCCUACGGGAGGCAGCAGUGGGGAAUAUUGGACAAUGGACCGAGAGUCUGAUCCAGCAAUUCUGUGUGCACGAUGAAGUUUUUCGGAAUGUAAAGUGCUUUCAGUUGGGAAGAAACAAAUGACGGUACCAACAGAAGAAGUGACGGCUAAAUACGUG
rnacentral:rRNA from 1 species